rnacentral:rRNA from 1 species
UAGAGGAAGUAAAAGUCGUAACAAGGUUUCCGUAGGUGAACCUGCGGAAGGAUCAUUAUCGUAGGGCUUCGGCCCUGUCGAGAUAGAACCCUUGCCUUUUUGAGUACCUUUCGUUUCCUCGGCAGGCUCGCCUGCCAAUGGGGACCCCAAAAAACACUUUGCAGUACCUGUAAUAGUCUGAACAAACAAACAAAAAUUAAAACUUUCAACAACGGAUCUCUUGGUUCUGGCAUCGAUGAAGAACGCAGCGAAAUGCGAUAAGUAGUGUGAAUUGCAGAAUUCAGUGAAUCAUCGAAUCUUUGAACGCACAUUGCGCCCUUUGGUAUUCCUUAGGGCAUGCCUGUUCGAGCGUCAUUUAAACCUUCAAGCUCAGCUUGGCGUUGGGUGACUGUCCGCUUCACCGCGGACUCGCCUCAAAAUUAUUGGCGGCCGGUACAUUGGCUUCGAGCGCAGCAGAAACGCGAACUCGGGCCCGUCGUAUUGGCUCCCAGAAGCUAUCUUCACAAUUUUGACCUCGGAUCAGGUAGGGAUACAAAAAUGAACUUAAGCAUAUCA